rnacentral:tRNA from 1 species
UCCCUGGUGGGUCAGUGGCUAAGACUCUGCACUCUCAGUGCAGAGGGCCUGGGUUCAAUCCCUGUUUGGGGAA